GGAGGAGAGAUAUUUGCGUCGCUGAUCAACCGGUGACAAGGUAACUACUCUUCAACCUAAACGUUUUUCGUUUCCAAUUCCAACUCGACGAUUUUGAAACCCUGAUAUUGGAGACGGUUUUAUUCCAUCCUUUGGACAACAGUCCGGAAAAGGAAUUGUGCAACAAAUAUUUCAUGUAUAUCAUAACAAAAUCUCCUAGUUGAAUACUAGACCACUGUCAUCAAUACCACAGGAUAAACCUGAGUCUCACUUCCCGAAUCGCUCUCCUCUGGGUUUCCGAGGUUUUCGGUUCUACAAGUUUCUUCCCAGUAGAGUGUAUUUUGACAAGUUUCUCCCACACGGGGCCAAAAUACAAGGUGAGUCUUCUCGGACAUGCAGAAACGUGCGUUGCAUGCCAAGUGCAUGUAAGCAGGAAGCCAUACAACUUGCAGUGAACCACAGCAUGUAACAUAACCCUCCAGCCAAGGCUAGCAGGAACUGAGGUGUUUUUAUAUAACAAGCUGUAUUUAUAUGACACUGUCGUUAUUGUUACUAUCAGAGAAGAAAUAGUUACAAAAUUUUGUACGUGUACAUGCCCAUGCAUACAUUUGUUUGAGAAAUGAGCUUGAAUAUAAAUGUAUCCUUACUUUUAAGCAAGCAGAUUAAAUUAUCAUUCUGUAUGUAUGAAGCACGUUUCUACACACCCUGCUACCUUCUCUAAAAUUAAACAGCUUAUGUGUG